AUCUACGGCCAUGCCACCUUGAACAAACCUGAUCUCGUCUGAUCUCGGAAGCUAAGCUGGGUUAGGCCUGUUUAGUACAUGAAUGGGAGACCUAGGAAGACCAGGUGCUGUAGAUG
rnacentral:rRNA from 1 species